rnacentral:rRNA from 1 species
ACGGAGGGUGCAAGCGUUGCUCGGAUUUAUUGGGCGUAAAGGGUAGGUAGGUGGUCUUAUUUGUCUGGGGUGAAAGCCUUGAGCUUAACUCAAGAAGUGCCCCAGAAACGGUGAGACUAGAGUUCUAGAGAGGAUCGUGGAAUUCCCGGUGUAGCGGUGAAAUGCGUAGAGAUCGGGAGGAACACCAGAGGCGAAGGCGGCGACCUGGAUAGAUACUGACACUCAACUACGAAAGCGUGGGGAGCAAACAGGA